rnacentral:rRNA from 1 species
UAAGGAAUAUUGCGCAAUGGGCGAAAGCCUGACGCAGCGACGCCGCGUGGGGGAUGAAGGUCUUCGGAUUGUAAACCCCUUUCGGGAGGGAAGAUGGAGCGAGCAAUCGUUCGGACGGUACCUCCAGAAGCAGCCACGGCCAACUUCGUGCCAGCAGCCGCGGUAAUAGGAAGGUGGCAAGCGUUGUUCGGAUUCACUGGGCGUACAGGGUGUGUAGGCGGUUUGGUAAGCCUUCUGUUAAAGCUUCGGGCCCAACCCGGAAAGCGCAGAGGGUGCUGCCAGGCUAGAGGGUGGGAGAGGAGCGCGGAAUUCCCGGUGUAGCGGUGAAAUGCGUAGAGAUCGGGAGGAAGGCCGGUGGCGAAGGCGGCGCUGUGGAACAUGCCUGACGGUGAGACACGAAAGCGUGGGGAGCAAACAGGAUUAGAUACCCUGGUAGUCCACGCCCUAAACUAUGGAUACUAAGUGUCGGCGGGUUACCGCCGGUGCCGCAGCUAACGCAUUAAGUAUCCCGCCUGGGAAGUACGGCCGCAAGGUU